AUGCAGGACAUGGAAAAGAGAGAAACAGCCCCCCACAUUUGGUGCCCCGAACAGUGACUGAGUACGGAGGCAAAAGAAGAAAGCGAGGGGGUCACUCUCAGAAGCGUGUGCACACAACAGAUAGAAGAAGAACAG